rnacentral:rRNA from 1 species
GAUGAACGCUGGCGGCGUGCCUAAUACAUGCAAGUCGAGCGAACAGAUGAGGAGCUUGCUCCUCUGACGUUAGCGGCGGACGGGUGAGUAACACGUGGAUAACCUACCUAUAAGACUGGGAUAACUUCGGGAAACCGGAGCUAAUACCGGAUAAUAUAUUGAACCGCAUGGUUCAAUAGUGAAAGACGGUUUUGCUGUCACUUAUAGAUGGAUCCGCGCCGCAUUAGCUAGUUGGUAAGGUAACGGCUUACCAAGGCAACGAUGCGUAGACGACCUGAGAGGGGGAUCGGCCACCCUGGAACUGAGACACGGUCCAGACUCCUACGGGAGGCAGCAGUAGGGAAUCUUCCGCAAUGGGCGAAAGCCCGACGGAGCAACGCCGCGUGAGUGAUGAAGGUCUUCGGAUCGUAAAACUCUGUUAUUAGGGAAGAACAAAUGUGUAAGUAACUAUGCACGUCUUGACGGUACCUAAUCAGAAAGCCACGGCUAACUACGUG